AAAAUCCGUCGCUAAAUC
rnacentral:tRNA from 1 species